rnacentral:rRNA from 1 species
AGAGUUUGAUCCUGGCUCAGGACGAACGCUGGCGGCGUGCCUAACACAUGCAAGUCGAACGGAGAAUUUUAUUUCGGUAGGAUUCUUAGUGGCGAACGGGUGAGUAACGCGUAGGCAACCUGCCCUUUAGACGGGGACAACAUUCCGAAAGGAGUGCUAAUACCGGAUGAGAUCAUUUUCCCGCAUGGGAGAGUGAAUAAAGAUGGCCUCUACAUGUAAGCUAUCGCUAAAGGAUGGGCCUGCGUCUGAUUAGCUAGUUGGUAGUGUAACGGACUACCAAGGCGAUGAUCAGUAGCCGGUCUGAGAGGAUGAACGGCCACAUUGGGACUGAGACACGGCCCAAACUCCUACGGGAGGCAGCAGUGGGGAAUCUUCCGCAAUGGACGAAAGUCUGACGGAGCAACGCCGCGUGAGUGAUGAAGGAUUUCGGUCUGUAAAACUCUGUUGUUUAUGACGAACGUGCAGUGUGUGAACAAUGCAUUGCAAUGACGGUAGUAAACGAGGAAGCCACGGCUAACUACGUGCCAGCAGCCGCGGUAAUACGUAGGUGGCGAGCGUUGUCCGGAAUUAUUGGGCGUAAAGAGCAUGUAGGCGGCCUAUUAAGUCGAGCGUGAAAAUGCGGGGCUCAACCCCGUAUGGCGCUGGAAACUGGUAGGCUUGAGUGCAGGAGAGGAAAGGGGAAUUCCCAGUGUAGCGGUGAAAUGCGUAGAUAUUGGGAGGAACACCAGUGGCGAAGGCGCCUUUCUGGACUGUGUCUGACGCUGAGAUGCGAAAGCCAGGGUAGCGAACGGGAUUAGAUACCCCGGUAGUCCUGGCCGUAAACGAUGGGUACUAGGU